rnacentral:rRNA from 1 species
GAUGAACGCUGGCGGCGUGCCUAAUACAUGCAAGUCGAGCGAAUGGAUUAAGAGCUUGCUCUUAUGAAGUUAGCGGCGGACGGGUGAGUAACACGUGGGUAACCUGCCCAUAAGACUGGGAUAACUCCGGGAAACCGGGGCUAAUACCGGAUAACAUUUUGAACCGCAUGGUUCGAAAUUGAAAGGCGGCUUCGGCUGUCCCUUAUGGAUGGACCCGGGUCGCAUUAGCUAGUUGGUGAGGUUACGGCUCACCAAGGCAACGAUGCGUAGCCGACCUGAGAGGGUGAUCGGCCACACUGGGACUGAGACACGGCCCAGACUCCUACGGGAGGCAGCAGUAGGGAAUCUUCCGCAAUGGACGAAAGUCUGACGGAGCAACGCCGCGUGAGUGAUGAAGGCUUUCGGGUCGUAAAACUCUGUUGUUAGGGAAGAACAAGUGCUAGUUGAAUAAGCUGGCACCUUGACGGUACCUAACCAGAAAGCCACGGCUAACUACGUGCCAGCAGCCGCCGUAA